UGGGGCGUUGGCAAGUGGUUAAGCCCCCGGUUUUUGGUGCCGGUAUCGUAGGUUCGAAUCCUACCGCCCCAG
rnacentral:tRNA from 1 species